CGAGGGGUCAGAAACUGGUUUAACAAAAAAUUUAGGCCAACUGAUAAACGACUUAAAUGCUUGUUCCACAGUGAAAAUCUCUUCCGUGGACAGAGGAACCGGGGCAUCUGGUAUGAUCAUUUCAUCCACUGAGACCUUCACCUCAUCCUCUAAUAGUUGCAUACCAUGACAUACAGUCGCUGACCUAAACUCUGUUCCACGAUCUACCAGCACCAUCUCAGUAUCCUCUAAAAUGUAUAGCAGACAUGGACUACCAUCGUCCAUGUCAUCCUCUGGGAUGGCUGCUGCGGAACAA
rnacentral:lncRNA from 1 species